UACGAGUGCCCCGAGCGUUAUCCGGAAUCAUUGGGCGUAAAGGGUGUGUAGGUGGUUGUGUUAGUCAACUGUUAAAACCUGGGGCUUAACCCCAGAUGUGCGGUUGAAACUGCACGACUAGAGGAUGGCAGGGAUGUAUGGAACUCAUGGAGUAGGGGUGAAAUCCGUUGAUAUCAUGGGGAACACCAAAAGCGAAGGCAGUACAUUGGGCCACUCCUGACACUGAAACACGAAAGCGUGGGUAGCGAAUGGG
rnacentral:rRNA from 1 species